ACUGCGAAUACCGGAGAAUGUUAUCACGGGAGACACACGGCGGGUGCUAACGUCCGUCGUGAAGAGGGAAACAACCCAGACCGCCAGCUAAGGUCCCAAAGUCAUGGUUAAGUGGGAAACGAUGUGGGAAGGCCCAGACAGCCAGGAUGUUGGCUUAGAAGCAGCCAUCAUUUAAAGAAAGCGUAAUAGCUCACUGGUCGAGUCGGCCUGCGCGGAAGAUGUAACGGGGCUAAACCAUGCACCGAAGCUGCGGCAGCGACACUGUGUGUUGUUGGGUAGGGGAGCGUUCUGUAAGCCUGUGAAGGUGUGUCGUGAGGCAUGCUGGAGGUAUCAGAAGUGCGAAUGCUGACAUAAGUAACGAUAAAGCGGGUGAAAAGCCCGCUCGCCGGAAGACCAAGGGUUCCUGUCCAACGUUAAUCGGGGCAGGGUGAGUCGACCCCUAAGGCGAGGCCGAAAGGCGUAGUCGAUGGGAAACGGGUUAAUAUUCCCGUACUUGGUGUUACUGCGAAGGGGGGACGGAGAAGGCUAUGUUGGCCGGGCGACGGUUGUCCCGGUUUAAGCGUGUAGGUGUGUGUUCCAGGUAAAUCCGGUUCACUUUAACACUGAGGCGUGACGACG
rnacentral:rRNA from 1 species